AUUGAACGCUGGCGGCAGGCCUAACACAUGCAAGUCGAGCGAGCGGCGGACGGGUGAGGAAUGUCUGGGAAACUGCCUGAUGGAGGGGGAUAACUACUGGAAACGGUAGCUAAUACAGCAUACCAUCGGAUGUACCCAGAUGGGAGUAGCUAGUAUGUGAGGUAACGACUCACCUAGGCGACGAUCCCUAGCUGGUCUGAGAGAAUGACCAGCCACACUGAGACUGAGACCCUGACCAUACUCCUCCGGAAGGCAGCAGUGGGGAAUAUUGCACAAUGGGCGCAAGCCUGAUGCAGCCAUGCCGCGUGUGUGAAGAAGGCCUUCGGGUUGUAAAGCACUUUCAGCCGGGAGGCGUUACCGGCAGAAGAAGCACCGGCUAACUCCGUGCCAGCAGCCGCGGUAAUAC
rnacentral:rRNA from 1 species